AUGCACAAUUCAAACACAAUUUUUUUUUUUUUUUUACAGUUUACCCAAGUGCUUUUCCUGUCUUGACUCCACCCUCUGGGCAAACUGCUGUGGCUACGUCAUCUGAAAACUCCAGAGUCACAGUCCACCCACUUAUACAAAUUGGUGAACGAGCCUCCAGAGGCAGCAGAGCUCUGACAGUAGCGGUCGUGUCCCAGCCACAGCCAAUUCCCAUCAUACUGAACAGUCUGAGAGACUCUCCUGGAUUUGUUCGCUGUCCUCACUGCCUCGAGCUUGUCACCAGUAACGUUACGUAUGUGGCUGGGAGGACUGCUGUGUGCUCAUGUAUCAUUAUGGCUUUAAUGGGGUGGGAGCAGAACACACACACACACACACACACACACACACACCCAUGUACAUGCAGAAGAAUUACAGUGUUGAAGCUCAGCAGGCAGAUCUGACCAUUCUUCUGUUUUUCAGGUUAUUCUGCGGUUUCUGUCUGAUUCCACUGUGCAUGAGAGGACUGCAAGAUGCACAUCAUUCCUGUCCACAGUGUGGCAAGAAACUGUACAUUUAUGAAAGAUGACAUGCUGUCUGGAUCCAUGAAGCUCCUGCUUUUCUCCAUCCGCUCAGGAUCUCGUUAAAUAUGUUGCAAAUUUUGCAAAUUAAUUUGUCAUAUGACUGCGUCACAUGCUGCAUACACUGCACUUUUUCUGAGCUUUUAACUCAAACUAAAGGUAGGUUCUCUUUGGCAAGAAGGAAAAGCCACAUUUAAGAUUCAUCACAGCAGGAAAGAAAUAUCACACCUUAAUGAAUGCUUGCAGGUAGGCCCCAACUUCCUGAUGACUCUGCAUAGAUAAGCAUGUGAAAGUAAUGACUGGAAGGAUGUAUGCUUGCCAUACAUCUCAAACAGCUGACACAGGUUGAUGUGUUAAACAUUUUAAGGUAUUUUUCAUAAGCAUUUCUAGACUAUUUAUAGUUGAAAUGCAUGGAGUAGUAGGUGAACAUUAAGUGUAUUUUUGAUGUUUUCUAUAAAUGUCUGAAGUUGUUAAAAGGCUCAAAUGAGAAAAGAAGCAGAAGCAGUUUUAACAUGUUUGUAAAACCUCAGACUGUAAGAAAUAUUAUCUUUUGUCACUUAUUUUAAUUUAGCUUUUUGUUAUUAUCAAAAGUUGAGUUCAGAUUUUUUUAAAUUAGGGUCUUUUGAGGAGGUUUAUGAUGAUAAUGUUUAGUGUACUACGGAGCAGAAAGCUGACGUCUUUCGUUCUCCCUACAUCCAGUGGGUGAUGUAGGUUGAUACAAUUUAUAGUAGCCACACAGGCACACCCACUAGAAGGAAACAAACGCACCCAGUACAACACUUUCAUCUACUGGCUGAGAGGUUGCCAGGCAACUGUGCCAAAAGGCAGUUCCAUGUUUUGUAAGCGAGCAGAGAGUCCGAGCAGAGACCAAGUCUAAGCGCGAGAAGUUUUGAGUACAAGCGUUACAAGUUUUGAGAAGAAAGACAUGAAGUCCUGCUUUCUAAAUAAAAAUGUAAGCAAGAGUAUUAAAAGUUUUGAGAACAAAAGACAUAAAAUCCUGCUUUCAGACUGAACAUGUGUGCUCUUGACAGAAAAAUUCCCUACAAAAACAUUUGUUAAUUCAGAGAUAUUAAUUUAAAACAUGAAUGUAGUUUUGAUUUUAUAAAAGGCAUUGUUUAAAGGAUUUUCCAUAACUAUUGUAUAAUGUGAUGUUUCUUAAUUCUAUUGGUAAUGUAUUCCAAGUGUGUGAUGCUAGGACCGAAAAAGCCGCCUGACCAACUGAGUUUUUCCUGAAUUAUGUUUUGCGAUGCCCUCUGCUAGAUGGUGUUGUGGAUAUAUUGAAGAAAAUAUCAACAAAAUAAUUUCUUUACAACAGAUCUGCUCAGUCCUCUUUGUACCAGAGUGUGACUUUUUGAGGGUGAUACAAGCUCAUCCAAACUCUGGUCUUCAAAAAUACAAAGGUCUUUUUCAGGUCAAUCCGUUUGCUCACAGUUGGAAACAAACUUUCCAACAAGUUUGUUUCCUUGUUAUAAAAGAAAAACAAUUUAGCAAAUCAAAGUGAGAAAAGGAACAGAAAACAUUUUCAAAUAAAAAUGUGAUUUGAAAACUUUUAAAUUACUACAAUACCAACCUCGAGCAACAUGUUCAAUAACUUAUUGCCUCAUUGGCAGCUCAUAGUGGACAUCUUCUUGUGAAGUACAGUGUAAGAGUGGACCAAAGCAAAUGAAGCUGUGAAAUGCUUCUGGGAAAUCACCCAAAAACUCCACUACAACAUUAGAGAUCAGCCUGAGUUCAGAUUUCUACAGGACAUUGGAGAGGUCUUCAUUUUCUUCCCUUGUAUUCCUGAUGGAGAGUGAAUUCCCUGAGAAUAGAAUAGAAUAUAAUAGAAUAUAAUAGAAUAGAAUAGAAUUUGGCUCCCAAAUUAUUCCUUUUAUUUUUUAAUGACAUAAGUAAGGCAUCAUCAAUUCUAAGAUUUAUUUUAUUUGCUGAUCUGAUGAUAUAAAUAUAUCAGUUUCUGGUGACAACAACUUUUGGAUACUAUUAUCUCAGAAUUUAAAAGUUUUGUUUGACAUGAAUAUGUUAUCACUAAAUGUGAGCAAGAUAAAAUUCAUGAUAUUCACUAACAAUGAAUAAAAGUGCCCAGACUGCAUAACAUUAGGGGAUGCUAACAUAGAAAGUGUGCAUUAAACAAAGUUUCCAUUGGUAAUAACAGAUGAUACAAUUUGCUGGAUGCACAUUAAAUAAGUUCUAUAAGCUUUCAAUGUAUGCAGCAUUAAAUUGCAGUGAUUUAUGCAAAAAGAUACCCAACCAGGUAUUGAGUGCAUAUAUUGUACAGCAGCUGGAUAUGCUUUUCAGUUGGGUGACAUUUCUGUAUUGAACGUCCUCUUUGGUUGGAAUUUCUUAAGAUGAAAUACAUAUUUGAAAUAUCACUAAGUGUAGUAAAUCCACAUUAUAUUGGCUGUAGUUUUUGAAUUGUAUUGCAAAGUAGCUGUGUUUUUUGAUGUUAUUCUGAUUAGAACUGAGAUGCAAGUGUGCAUAUUUAAAUAAAACCUGCCAACACUGUGA